UUGAACGCUGGCGGCAGGCCUAACACAUGCAAGUCGAGCGGUAGAGAGAAGCUUGCUUCUCUUGAGAGCGGCGGACGGGUGAGUAAUGCCUAGGAAUCUGCCUGGUAGUGGGGGAUAACGUUCGGAAACAGACGCUAAUACCGCAUACGUCCUACGGGAGAAAGCAGGGGACCUUCGGGCCUUGCGCUAUCAGAUGAGCCUAGGUCGGAUUAGCUAGUUGGUGGGGUAAUGGCUCACCAAGGCGACGAUCCGUAACUGGUCUGAGAGGAUGAUCAGUCACACUGGAACUGAGACACGGUCCAGACUCCUACGGGAGGCAGCAGUGGGGAAUAUUGGACAAUGGGCGAAAGCCUGAUCCAGCCAUGCCGCGUGUGUGAAGAAGGUCUUCGGAUUGUAAAGCACUUUAAGUUGGGAGGAAGGGCAGUAAAUUAAUACUUUGCUGUUUUGACGUUACCGACAGAAUAAGCACCGGCUAACUCUGUG
rnacentral:rRNA from 1 species